CGCGGCCUAUCAGCUUGUUGGUGGGGUAAUGGCCUACCAAGGCGACGACAGGUAGCCGGCCUGAGAGGGCGACCGGCCACACUGGGACUGAGACACGGCCCAGACUCCUACGGGAGGCAGCAGUGGGGAAUAUUGCACAAUGGGCGAAAGCCUGAUGCAGCGACGCCGCGUGAGGGAUGACGGCCUUCGGGUUGUAAACCUCUUUCAGCAGGGACGAAGCGUAAGUGACGGUACCUGCAGAAGAAGCGCCGGCCAACUACGUGCCAGCAGCCGCGGUAAGACGUAGGGCGCGAGCGUUGUCCGGAUUUAUUGGGCGUAAAGAGCUCGUAGGCGGCUUGUCGCGUCGACUGUGAAAACCCGCAGCUCAACUGCGGGCCUGCAGUCGAUACGGGCAGGCUAGAGUUCGGUAGGGGAGACUGGAAUUCCUGGUGUAGCGGUGGAAUGCGCAGAUAUCAGGAGGAACACCGGUGGCGAAGGCGGGUCUCUGGGCCGAUACUGACGCUGAGGAGCGAAAGCGUGGGGAGCGAACAGGAUUAGAUACCCUGGUAGUCCACGCUGUAAACGUUGGGCGCUAGGUGUGGGGGACCUCUCCGGUUCUCUGUGCCGCAGCUAACGCAUUAAGCGCCCCGCCUGGGGAGUACGG
rnacentral:rRNA from 1 species